rnacentral:rRNA from 1 species
GGGCGCAAGCCUGAUGCAGCGACGCCGCGUGCGGGAUGACGGCCUUCGGGUUGUAAACCGCUUUUGAUCGGGAGCAAGCCUUCGGGUGAGUGUACCUUUCGAAUAAGCACCGGCUAACUACGUGCCAGCAGCCGCGGUAAUACGUAGGGUGCAAGCGUUAUCCGGAAUUAUUGGGCGUAAAGGGCUCGUAGGCGGUUCGUCGCGUCCGGUGUGAAAGUCCAUCGCUUAACGGUGGAUCUGCGCCGGGUACGGGCGGGCUGGAGUGCGGUACGGGAGACUGGAAUUCCCGGUGUAACGGUGGAAUGUGUAGAUAUCGGGAAGAACACC